rnacentral:rRNA from 1 species
AGAGGUCUCAAGCGUUGUUCGGAUUCAUUGGGCGUAAAGGGUGCGUAGGUGGCGUCGUAAGUGGGGUGUGAAAUCCCGGGGCUUAACCCCGGGACUGCAUUCCAUACUGCGGUGCUUGAGGACUGGAGAGGAGACUGGAAUUUACGGUGUAGCAGUGAAAUGCGUAGAGAUCGUAAGGAAGACCAGUGGCGAAGGCGGGUCUCUGGACAGUUCCUGACACUGAGGCACGAAGGCCAGGGGAGCAAACGGGAUUAGAUACCCCGGUAGUCCUGGCAGUAAACGGUGCACGUUUGGUGUGGGAGGAUUCGACCCCUUCCGCGCCGGAGCUAACGCGUUAAACGUGCCGCCUGGGGAGUACGGUCGCAAGAUUA